ensembl:snRNA U6 U6 spliceosomal RNA
GUGCUUACUUCAGGAGCACAUAUUCUAAAAUUGGAAUGAUCCAAAGAAGAUUAGCAUGGUCUCUGUGCCCAAAUUUUUAAGAAGUCAUUGGUAUUAAA